UACGAAGGGGGCUAGCGUUGCUCGGAAUUACUGGGCGUAAAGCGCACGUAGGCGGCUUGUUAAGUCGGGGGUGAAAUCCUUGAGCUUAACUCAAGAAGUGCCUCGGAAACGGCAAGACUAGAGUCCUGGAGAGGGUCGUGGAAUUCCCGGUGUAGCGGUGAAAUGCGUAGAGAUCGGGAGGAACGACCAGAGGCGAAGGCGGCGACCUGGACAGGUACUGACACUCAAC
rnacentral:rRNA from 1 species